UAGGGAAUCUUCCACAAUGGACGAAAGUCUGAUGGAGCAACGCCGCGUGAGUGAAGAAGGUUUUCGGAUCGUAAAGCUCUGUUGUUGGUGAAGAAGGAUAGAGGCAGUAACUGGUCUUUAUUUGACGGUAAUCAACCAGAAAGUCACGGCUAACUACGUGCCAGCAGCCGCGGUAAUACGUAGGUGGCAAGCGUUGUCCGGAUUUAUUGGGCGUAAAGCGAGCGCAGGCGGAAUGAUAAGUCUGAUGUGAAAGCCCACGGCUCAACCGUGGAACUGCAUCGGAAACUGUCAUUCUUGAGUGCAGAAGAGGAGAGUGGAACUCCAUGUGUAGCGGUGGAAUGCGUAGAUAUAUGGAAGAACACCAGUGGCGAAGGCGGCUCUCUGGUCUGCAACUGACGCUGAGGCUCGAAAGCAUGGGUAGCGAACAGGAUUAGAUACCUGGUAGUCCAUGCCGUA
rnacentral:rRNA from 1 species